GCGCGCCGAGACAGGUGCAACCGGGGCGGGCGGGUCGGGGGGCACCGCCGCCUCCCCGGGCUCCCCCACUGCUUCCCUCCGUCCCUCCCCACGAUGUUGUUUCGUUAUAUCAUGUCCAUCAUGUGACACCCGGAGGCCUCUCUAUGGAAACUUAAAGGGGACUUUCACGUCCGCCGCCGCCGGACCUGCCGGUACCCCCGUGGGGCUGCGAGCCCUGCCGGUGCCCGCCUGCCCUCCCUCCGCUACCUCCCUUCCCGGGGGGCUGCGCUCCGUGGUCCUACCGCCCUUUGCUUAAAGCAAGUUGCUGCGCUUCCUUCUUCUAUUAUUAUUUAUUAGGGGUUGGUUUGGUGUUUGUGUUUUAGGUUGUUUUGGUCUUUUUUUGCUUUUUCCCCUUCUCUUUUCGCAGAAAGGAAUAGCCGGGGAAUAAACGGCCGGGCAGGCACCGUGCGGAAGGAUGGACCCCGCUCCUGGAGGCUGCGGGAUCCGGUGCUCGUCUGCGGCCGCGGCGAGUCGGGUGCUGGAAGCGGCAGAAAAAACAAAAAAUCCAAAUCAACCAAAAGAAAAAAAAACCAAAAUAAAUAAGGCGGAAAAACCUCGUUUGUGUCGGAGGGAAGAGGAGCAGAUGUGAGCAGUUCUGCCCGUGCGGGGUCGAUGCGGUGGUCGCUACCGCCGCGUUUAACUCUGCCAGUCGGUAGCGAAACGAUUUCGCCGUCGCGACCCGUCGCACCGCCGGCUCCCGACAGCCGGCUCUGUGCCGAGCUGUUGGAAGAAGCCGCUCCUAGGGAUGUGCGCUGGCCACUGCAACACUACCAGCAAGCAGCUAGCCCUCACAGAAAGAAAAGGAGAAGAUGCCGACAAUUACCCGUGGUUCGGACAGCCCCCGCUUCCCCGCGCAUCCCGCUGCCCGGCCGCAGCCGCCGGGGGUUCGGGGCCGGCCGGCGGCAGCGCCGCGCUCCUCCGGCUGCUGUUCCGCCUUCGGUGCUGAAGUGGGUUUUAUUCCCUGCUCUCCACCAGCCCCCAGGAUUUGGGUUCAGGGAGCUGAAGCCCACCCGUUCCACGGUCCCACCACCGGGCUGACAACGCGCAGGGGGCUCUGGGGGUUUUCCCCAUGGAAGGUUCCUGCAGGAGGCCUCCAAAUUCUGUUCCUUAACUGGUGGCAUCGGUGUUGGUAACCAAAUGCAAGGCUUUAGGGGCUAGACUGAAAAGAAGGAGAUAGAUUUGUUGUUUAAAACUAAAGGAGGAAAAGCAAUCCCGCAUUCACUCCUUCCUUACAGCCUCCAGCAGCCCCUCAACAGAUUAAAAAAGCAUGAUCCACAAAUGCAGUAAAUUUUAAGUUGGGGAUUUAAUUUUUUUUAUGUCUCACCACGUUUUCUUUAAGGAAGUCAUAUAAACGACUUUUUUCCAGCUGCUGGGUUGGUGAUGAUGGCUGUCAGCCACUGGAGGGGACUGGAGCCACCCGGCCACUCGGCACAGGCCCAAUUCUGCAGGGACAGUGGAUCAUCUCCCUUAGCUCUCCCAUUUGUGCUUUGGACUUGAAAUAUCUGUUCUUUGCCCCACUCAUUUCCAGGUGCCCAUGCAAAGGGUUGUGUAUCUAACAGAUCAGUGUUUCAGAUAUCUCUACUAUUAUUUUUAAAUUAUUUUUAAUUUUUUUUAAAAUUUUUUUUUUUUUUAGUUUUGUAAAAAUUACUAAUGAUUUCAGCUGAAAAGAGUUAAUAGACUGAGGAGCAGUUCAUCCUUCUUUCCUUACUUCUUCUCGGAGUCUUCCUUCUAUCCACCCUACACACUGUUUAUGUUUAUCUCACCCAUCCAGUUUUGGGGGAAUUUCCUCUCUGGGCACCUUUCUGCCAUUUAUCCAGGCUGUCCCACUGCUGUGGAGCCUUAAGUACAAUUUGCCUUUCUUCCCGUAUCUCCGGGCCUCCUUUCCCUGCCUCACUAAGCCUCUUUUUAUUCCGUAUUCCCUUCUUCAGAUCAUCCUUAAAGGAGGAAGAGGCUGGAGCUGGGAUUUAAAGUAGUCUUUUAGGAGUACUGCCAGAACUGAUCUGUUUUACUCUGCUGCUGCUGCUGUUGCUGUUCUGCUGUGUCAUGGGAAGAGUUUCCUCUCCACACCAACCCUUGGAAGCGGCACCUCGGGCAGAGCCGCUCGCUGCAAACCGUGGCCGUGUUUUACAAAGCCCUAGGUAAGUUUGUCUGGUGCAGGCUUGAGCCUGGAAGGAGAAUGCCUUCCUGUGCUCUGACCUGGAGGGCUGUGCACGAUUUUGGGAGAUUUGCAGGAGGCAGAGUGGCGGCAGCAGCAGUGACAGCGCAUCAUCGCUCAGCUUUAUUUCAUUUUCUCAAGCCAAGAUGCUCUAGGUUACAGCCCAGCAGAAAAGGAAAAUGAAGCAUUUCUGUCAAAAGGCAGCUAUUUCCCAAAUUUGCUUUAAAUUAUUGCAAGAUCUUGCACUAAAAAAGAGCAGAGAUUCUGUCUCCUCUUAAAAAAUGUUGUUAGUUAUAAAAUCUUUAUGAUCUUGGCUCUCUCCUCCUCAGCCUGUCUCCUUCAAAAACUUACUUUCAAAAAUGUGAGGUUUAAAGAUGACUCUUCUCUCUCUCUCCAUCCCCCCUCCCAAAUUUAUAUUCCUUGGAAAGGCCUGAAGAAGCCUGAGGCUGUGUCUGCCCAUGAAUAAACACCGGCGUGUACAUACACGUGCAUAUCCACGCACACUCACAGGGUUUAAAGCAUCCCAUUGAAGUCCACAUAUAGGAAAAUCCUUCAUCAUGUGAUAGGCUUUAAUAUCUGCCUUAAUAUUAAUCCCUAACUGAUGCACUCUGUCUUCAUAUGGUGGCAGAUCACAGGAGGCUCAGUAGCUGGGGCUCCUGUGCAAGUUUUUUAAAACUGCCAGAUAAAAUCCCCUGUUUGCCUUUGGAUUAAUUUGUUUUUUCAUAGCAGCUACCUGGGAAAUGUUCAUCUAAUGAAACCAAGUAAGAAAACUUUAUAGGGCUCUGAUCUUGUUUUUCCACAGUUAAAAAGAAAGACCUUGUCAUGAGGUCAGGACAAGAUCUGAUGUUAUUACACAAGGAAAUGGCUAAAGGACCCUGCAGAGUUGUUCAGGUGCUCGGUUGGUGAUAACGCUCCUAGAUUUUAUUGUAGCUUGAGUUUUGGAGAUGGUCCUGCUUAAUUGUCAGAGUUGUCUUUGCUUCUUUUGAUCCAUUUUUGUUGUUGACACUGAAUUUUCUUGUUUCACUUCUCUUUAGAAUUAAUUUCGCUUUUUAGUUCCCAUGUGUUAAAAAGUGCAGUUUCAUUUAGACUCUCAAGAGAAAAAAAUCUGAUUCCAGACAGCAAUUUGCAGCAAUAUAUUUUCCUUGCCACUCACAGAAAAACAUCACUACUCCAACAGAUCUGGGUAUAAACAAUGCUGACAGGCCCUCAAAACCAAAAUCAAAUUGUGAAAUUGAGGCAAAUAGCCCAGAGAACCUGAAACGUUCUGGUUUCUGAAAUGCUGGCUGCUAUCAAAAAUAGGAUAGAAUAAAGCUUUAUUUACGUGUAAAGCAGAGUGUUUGUUGAUCAAGUUUCUAAGGUGAUGUAGCAGGAAAUACUGUUCUUGAGGAAAAUGACAUGAACAAAGCAUGAAACUAUAAUUCAGCAGCUAUUUGUCAACUGAUAGCAGAAGAAAAAACGUGUAUUUAUAAAGCAGUGAGAGGUUUUCAUUGAACUUUUUCCUCUCCUUUGCUGGCAUCUAUGAAGGCAGCUUCUCACCUGCUCUGCUCCUGGAUAUAACUACUUGCAAGAGCAGAGCUAAAUCAUUUAUCAGAAGGAAUGUUUCUAUCAAAUCCAAAUAUCUAUACUGGCUGCUGUUUUUAUGUCACGUCACAGAUGAGAUUGAUGCUCAAGCAAGGUUAUAAUGUACCUGCAUUUUCUCCAGAUUGGUGCCAAGCUUGCUGAGUCAUUUUCCCUGUUCCCAUUCUGCAGCCGGCUGCUCGCUCGCUAUUCCCUGUUAUUUGUGUGGGUCGUAAGCUCAGCAACAGAUGAGAAUAAAUGCUAAUAUUUCUUUAGGCUGCCUCCCUAAGGAAAUAAAGGUUCUGCUGCGCUGCUUUUCUGUGCAGGUGCACACGGGCAGGAGGGAGAGACUCAGAUCAGGAAUUGAAGCAGAACUCGGCCCUAACGCCUCCGGAUUGGCAUCCACCUUCAAGCCACCAACCCACCCGUGGCAGGCAAUUAAUCUCUGUGUAGUGACUCUGAGCCACAGCGCUGCCUGAUCCUGCCUAGUACAGUUUUGUCUGGCUGGCAAGAGAUAUAAUGGAGAAGCAGAGGAACGGGGCUAACUCAAGGAAGGAGCUGUUUUCGAGGCAAAAUAACAGGGAAAUUUAAAGAAUAUAACUAUAAGCAACAGAAAAGUUAAUACCUGGGAAUGGCUGUACAUUGUUUGGGGGAACGAUUUAGCUUUUGUGUCAGUCCCGAAACAAACCAUGGCAGAGGAGCAGGUCAGGCUGUUCCUAAAGCCCGCACAGCUGCCACGCUGGUGCCAUUUUGCUCUUGGCACUAAAGCUAAAGGCCAAGAUCCCCCACCCGCACAUCUUCCAGACAUGGAUGCGUUUCCUCUGCAAUGCCAGCAUCAGGUGAAGAGCUGACUCAGCCACAGGCUACUGCAUCUGACAGCCUCACUCUCCCACCCUCCUUUCUGGCAUAGCCUGGCUGUAGCUGAGACUCAGAAUUGGUUUAUGUUUGAGAAGAGCCAAGCCUGGGGUGUCUCCUCAUGGAUGGUGCUGGGUCUCUACCUUGGCUGGAGCUUUCCUGGCUGCCUAAUGGAGAUGGGAGAGCUCCAGCCCUUCAUGUUCACCUCAGGGAAUGCUGGUCAGGUCAGGACUGCAGACAGGAUCAGAUCCAUUCUCACCUGAGAGCAAAGAAUUAAUUUAUGUGUCCUUUCUCCACCAGCUGCACCUUUCUGGGAGCAGCCACUGGAGGGGGGACACCCUGAUGCUGCACGUACCAUACGCGCUCAUCUCCAUUGCAAUUAGUUUGAUGCAACAAACAGCUCCAGCGUGACAAACUCCAGGCUAAAAAAAGCCAGGACUUCAUCUGCAUAAAUUGGAUGCACAAAGUAUGUAUUGUGUGUCACCUCCCUUAUGUCCCACAUUUGUUCCUGCAGCAAAUGGCAUAUGCUCCAGCAGUACCACGUGGUCUGAACGGACUCCUGGAAAUACAGUAGGGAUCUGAUGCUGGUAGUCUUCGAAAUUAAGACAUUAAUUGUCAUCCUGCUUAUGGACCUCUUCUGGAAGGAAGGUUUUUGCAUAUAAAUUAAGAUUCAUUGUCCUCUGAUGAAUAAUCUAUGAAACUGGAGUCACCCUCUCCAUCGAUGAGCAAGUGAUUAUUUCUGGUUUAGCUGUUAGACACCAGCUGGGACCAGAGGCCUCGUUCUCCUGGCCACUGUGUAGUCACACCCAAGAAGAUAACCUCUGCCUUCAAGAGCUUACAAAGCAGAACAACAAAAGAGGGAGCAGUAUAACACUCAGGCAGAGCAAACACAGUGACCUUUUGCAAAUGUCAAGUUAAUACCAUGAUCUGGAAGUGGAAGGGGCUCAUCAGAGGGUGGGUGGGUCAACGAAGACGGGACACACUUCAGAGCGGGGGGAUGAGAUGAAGGAAAAGCCACAGCAGAAGCUGCAUGGUGUGAGAUGCAGAAGGAAGUGCAUGCAGAGCAUUCUGUGGUCAAUUGGCACAACCAGGAUAAAAAACAGGGGAAGGAAUCUGAUGACCCCAGCCACAGCUCACAGAAUAACUAGCUCCCCAAAGUCUCACAGCCUGGAGAAGGGAGCUAGAGAGAGCAGGGGUGGACAGAGCAGUUCCUCCUAAGUGCUGGUUCUGCUCUGGCGGCUGGAGGUGUGAUAACCCUGUUUUGGGGCUGUUGCUCUCCGUGGCUCAGCCUCCUGCAGCUGUGUUUGCUGCAGCUGAGCCUCAGGGCUGGAGUGAGAUGUAGUUGAGCUCUAAGCUGCUCCAAGUCCAGGGCAGCACAUAAUUGAAUAUUAACAGGAGCAGCUCUAGGAGCUGCUGGGACUCAGGAAGUCACAAUUCCUUCUCUGCUGCUCCUUCGCCUUCGUGGGAGGUGAUUGCUGGAGGCCUUAAUGGAUGUGAGACAUAAUACGCUUCCCUCACAUUAGCCCCAGUUAGCAACCUGAGGCUUUAACCACAUCCUACCCUCUCUGAUCAUUUCCUCAUGCACCUCUUGAGCAACAUGAGAAGUGCAGUAGCUGCAGCCAGCCCAGCGACCAAGCAGAGAGGUGCAGAGACUGUAUGAACAUUGAUUUCACACCUCAUCUCCCCAGUGAACAAAGGGGUCCCACCUUUAACGAGCAUCAAAAUUUACUAAAUAUACAUUAUUGAAUUCCUGGUCUCUGUAUCGUCCUCCUGCAAACAGGAAUUAUUUAGCUGCUGGGUGGGGAUGCCAUGAGCAUCAUACAAGAUCCACAAAGUGAUAUUUAAGUUGAAAAUCUUUGGUACCAUGCUUUUGUUAAAUAUUCAAGGUAAGAUACAGCAGCAAGUUCAUAGGCACUAGGGUCUCUCCAUGCUGCCUGACCAGCUGAACUGACUAGUUGCCCUGUCUAAAAAUAUGGAUGGAUAUCUUUCCCUCCUCAAAUUCAUGCUUCACUGAGAAGUUCAGUCUGUAGUCAUGCUACUUUUAUGGAGGAAGCAAAGUGCUUUACAAGAAAAGAGAUGUCCACAGAAACCCAUCCCUGCCAUCUGAUCAUUCAGAACUUGGUGUUAGUCUAAGAAGGAGGAAGGCAACAUGUUCAGAGUACCAGAAAAUUCCCUAAGACCCUGAGGGACGUGCUUAACAUCAAUCAAAGUCCAGAGUUCCUCCUCUUGUCUUUUAAGUCUCUUUUCCCUUUUUUUUUUCUCUCUUUUUUCUCACUUUAAAAUUCACAAUAUCCUUGACUUAUCAUUUUCCUUCAAGUCCACCAGUACUUGUUUAUUACAUAAUUGCUUUCUUUUUCAAAAAACAUGCUCCUCUAUCUCCUUUUUUUCAUUAGUUGAAGUACAAUGGACUCUACCAUGAGACUGCUCCUGGUUUUGUUUGAUUUCUCUUUUCCUUUAUCACUACCCAGAGACAUCCAGCAGAUUGUUUCAUAAUCUUCCUAGAGUUCAGAGAAAGUAUAUUUCUUCCAGAUAGGAAUAUAGCCUGCAAACGUCCUCCUCCUUUUUCCUCACCACCUGCUCCUCUUGAACAACACUUCUGGCAAACUUUAUCCAUGUAUUAUUCCUUUAUUCACAAAUUAGAUGUUCCUUUUUAGGCAAAAGUGAGGAACACACUGUUUCCCUGGCAUGCAAUGUGUGUUUUUGCAUGGCUUCUUUGCUCUCCAGCAUGCUCCUGAAUUUUUGGAGCCCUCAGGAGCAAGGACCUCAUCACCAAAUUCAGCCCCAGCAGCCACAUGCUGUCUGUGGGAGGUCUGCAGAAAAGGAGGCUCUUCAUUCUGCUUGUGGUGCAUUAGGGAAGAGAAUUGGUGGAGCUCUGCAAUGCACAGGAGGAAGGAUUGCUUUUGUUAUUGGUCAGGGAAUCUCCGUGCUGCAUUUGGUAUCACUGGCUUCCUGCUGUUGUUGGAUAAUUAAUUAACACCAACAGAGUGUUUGAAGCUCUGCUAAAGUGCAAACACAGGAUUAGCAUCAAUAUUUCACAUUCUGGUCAGGCAUGGGGAAGAUGGAAGCACUGUCACACCUUGAGGAGACAGUCAUGGAACAGAGGAGAUGGAGAAAGACCACAAAUUUUCCUUGGUGCCCUGAGAAGGAUCCAAACAUCCCUGAGAGAAGCUGAUCAGCUUCCAGAGAAAAAUACUUACAAAUUGAUUUAGAAAUUAUAAUUCAAAGAAAUUUGGUCUGAAUUAGAAAGCUUUUGAGUUUAAUUUGUGGAGUCGUCUUCUUUCCCAGCUAUCCAGUAACAACAAUCUUUGCAAAUUUAUUUCUGUGGGACCCAGAACAAUUGUCAAUAACCUUUUUAUAAGUCUCCUCUGCCUUGAAGGCAGUUUUCAUCUUCUCACAUGUUUUCCCUUCUGGAAAAAGCAAAGAAAAUCCUCCAAUUGUUUUGAACCACUCAUCAUUCUCAUUGCUUUCCUUCAGCCCCUGUAUGAUUUGUCUAUGACAUUCUUCUACCUUCUCCUAGCACAGCAUCCAAACCCACACCUGGUGUUUCCUUGUUAGAGUGGAAUCAUUGCUUCUGAUGUUUCCCUCUUGUUCAUAUGCUUCAGAAUAAGAUUUGCUGUAUUUUACAACAGCUGUGUCCUCUCCAGUGCCUCUUUCACAACUCUUUUUUUAUUGAAUGCCUGCUUGACCAGCAUUUUGCCACUUUGCAUUGACAUAUUUUGUUGCUUUUUACCUUACCAAAUCUGGUUGAUUUUAUAUUAUUACUCCAAUUUCCCAGCCACAUUUUGGAACACAUCCUCUGGAGUAUUUAUAUAGUCUUUAUUUUGUCUUCCAAAUCACUAAUGAAAAUAUUAGAAUCAGGUCCAGGAGCAAACCCUGAGGGAGCCCUUUUGGAAAACCUUCUAAAUCCAAAGGAAAGGAAUUAGUAAUUCUUAUGUGAAUACAUUUAUUUUCUGUCAAGUAUGUCUUAAGAUGAUUUCACAGAGAUCAUAGUUCCUGGUCAGCUUAUGGAAAUGUCAUGUGAAAUGGUGUCAAAAACUCUGCUUCUUUCAAAAUACAUGACAUAUGCUCCCUCUUCCUUAUUCUACAACGCAGUUGUUGAGUUCAAGGAUGGAAACUGGACGGUUUUAACAUCACUCCUCCAUGACAAAUCAAGUCUGACUGACUGUAUGUUUUUCUAUUGUCAGUCAAAUGCUCACAAAGAGAUCGCUGCACAGUUUAUUGUAUUACAGUUUUUGCAUUACAUGCUGAUCUGGCUGCUGUGUAGUUCCCCAAGUCUUGCUUCCCCUUCUUUAAAGACAGACACUGUGUUUGCCCUUCUCACCUCCUCUGGGAUCGCCUCCCUUCUCCAUGAGCUCUUGCAGAUAAUUACUCAUGAGUCAGAUUGCUCUGCCCAGUGCCUGAAGUGCUCUAGAGGGAACUUCAUCCAGUCCUGCUGACUUGAAUUUGCCUAACUUCUCUGAAUGAUUUUAGCAGUGUUUAUUUGCUAGUUUGGAUUGUCUUAUCCUCUGCAGUAAAAGUGGUCCUGAUAAAUACCAGUUCAUAAUCUUUUUUUAAAAUAUUUUAUUUUUCUCCAUAGCAAAAGCAUAAAAACUAAUGAAUGCUCCAGUCUUUUCUCUGUUGUUAUUUCUGUUCUCUCAUUUUCCAUUAAUUCAGUUAUGUAUAAUUUCCAUUGCCUUCCUCCUAUUUCAAUAUCUUUACAGAGCAUCCUUUUAUCGCCCUCUGUAUCCCUUCCUAAUUGAAACUCAUUUUGCCCCUGUUUUUUCUCAUUUUAAUCCUCCACAGUCAUACUCUUCUUUUACGGACACAGUCUGUAAAAGACAAGUUCCUAGUCUUUUUUUCCACCUUAGUACAACUUGAUGUUAUUCCUCCUUUUUCUGCUUCCCUCACUCCUUCCUUUCCUUGGAGCAAGAUGUUCCAUCGUUUUGUUAUGGCUUUCAACUUAAUUAACCCCCAGCUUCCUGUCCUCACCAAUCUCCUCCCUGUUAGUCAGUCCAAUCCCAAAGAGCUCCAAUGCCCUUGUCCCACAGGAACUUUGCUCCAUCAUUUGCACUUGUGUUCCCUCCAAAAACAGUUUCACACCCUCCUGCUGGGCUUGCAAAGCAGUUUUUGUACAGUUCCUUUUUGCAGAGCACCCUUGGCUUGUUUGCCAGAUAGAAAACCAUUAUUCAUUUUACUCCAUUUUUGCAGAUCUAAUUAAUGAUCAGUUUAUCUCUUAAAUCCUUGCUCACCUCUGCAAUAUGCCAGUCCUUACCCUGUCUUUUUUCUCCAUCCAGAAGGAUUGGAAGAGGACAUUUCCCAUCCCCUCAUCUCUUUCCCUCUUCUUCCCAGGGUCUGUAUUUAGAGCUACGAGGCUUCAUUAAAACCCUUUCUAGGGUAGUAGAUGAGGAUGAUGCUCCUGCAGGCACUACAGAGAUCACCUGCCUGCUGAGGCUCCCCUCUCCAGCUCAGUGUGAGACCAAGAAGGCUUUUAGGAAAGGCAAUUAAGGGGUCUGAGUGUACCAUGCACUGAAGCACCCCUUUACCCUUUCAGAUUUAUAGUGCCCAGCACACAGAUGGCAUUUUUUUUUUCCCCACCAAAAAUUGUGCUGCUAUCUUUUAAUAAAUCAGACAACAAACCCAGGCCUAUGUGAGAUGUAUUAAAUUAAAUCCCCAGCUCUCUGGGUCACUGUUCCUCAUAAAAUGAUUACAUCUCUAAACAAGGAAGAACACAAACCUGCAAGGUCAUAGAGACCUGCAGUUCCAUGUAGAUCCACCUGCCUCUUCUUUCUCAUUAAUUGCACACAGCUGACUCUUGCUCAAGGCUUUCCUUAGGCUCUCCAGGCUCAUGGGCACUCUCCACCGAGCAGUUCCAAGGACUGAGGUAGCAUUUAAGCUCAGUGGAUAUAUCUGCCCACUUCUAUUUUGGCAGAGAGCAUUAAACAAGCAGUUCUCGAUGUCUGAGCAGCCUGUUCCACAUCAGAGGGGCUACUGGUGAAGCUGAACAUUUCUCCACAGUGGAGGCAGCCCUGGGCCCACAGAGAACACUUGGUGGGACCCAGAAGUGUAGAGGUUAUUAAGGUAACAAGGCUUGUUGUUGUCAUUAGCCGCCUGUAGGAGAUUAUUGAAAAGACAACACCAGAUUUUGCUUGAAGGUGCAGAGUGAUGGGACGAGAGAAAACCAACCCAAGGGGCAGAAAAGGCUGAUAAAACUAGAUAUUAGGAGGGGGAAAAAUACAACUAAAGUAGUUAACUACUAGAACAGGAGUCCAGAGAGCUUUUGGGAUCUCCAUCCUUGCAAAACUUCCCUGGGAAGGGCUCUGGGAAAUCUGAUGGAAGGAUGUGAGAGAGGAGCCUGGAGAUUCCUGAAGGUCUUUCCCUCCCCAAAUCUCUGUGAUGCUGAAAUUCUGUAUGGGUGGGUCUGGGGCACUCCUGUUGCUGUCCUGCUCGUUCCAGCUGAUUGCCAACAAAAUUACAAAGCUGCCUGAGCGUGUUGGUUCUGUUCUGCAUAAAUUUGUAAGGAGAAUCCAAAGACUUCGCAGAAUCCAAAGACUGUAUAAUAGGAAAAUCACAGGUAAUUACAAAUUCAUUGGUUUAAACCUGAUCCCAAACAGCAUCAAAGAAAAUCUGAUACAGGCUGUGAUUAGUAAUGAAUUAAAGGAUGCUAACCUGAUUGAUAUGCCUGAACAGUUUUAUGGAAAGUCUGUCAUGUCGAACAAAUGAAUGUUUUUUUAAUGAGAAUGUAAGUUUGGUUAAUAAAGAUAAGCCUGUUAUAAAUUA